AUUGAACGCUGGCGGCAUGCUUUACACAUGCAAGUCGAACGGUAACAGGUUAAGCUGACGAGUGGCGAACGGGUGAGUAAUGCAUCGGAACGUGCCCGGUCGUGGGGGAUAACGCAGCGAAAGCUGCGCUAAUACCGCAUACGAUCUGAGGAUGAAAGUGGGGGACCGUAAGGCCUCGCGCGAUCGGAACGGCCGAUGUCAGAUUAGGUAGUUGGUGGGGUAAAGGCUCACCAAGCCAACGAUCUGUAGCUGGUCUGAGAGGACGACCAGCCACACUGGGACUGAGACACGGCCCAGACUCCUACGGGAGGCAGCAGUGGGGAAUUUUGGACAAUGGGCGAAAGCCUGAUCCAGCAAUGCCGCGUGCAGGAAGAAGGCCUUCGGGUUGUAAACUGCUUUUGUACGGAGCGAAAAGGUCUCCUCUAAUACAGGGGGCUCAUGACGGUACCGUAAGAAUAAGCACCGGCUAACUACGUGCCAGCCGCCGCGGUAA
rnacentral:rRNA from 1 species